UACGGAGGGGGCUAGCGUUGUUCGGAAUUACUGGGCGUAAAGCGCGCGUAGGCGGACCUGCAAGUCGGGGGUGAAAGCCCGAAGGCUCAACCUCGGAACUGCCUUCGAUACUGCGGGUCUCGAGUCCGGGAGAGGUGAGUGGAACUGCGAGUGUAAGAGGUGAAAUUCGUAGAUAUUCGCAAGAACACCAGUGGCGAAGGCGGCCGACUGGUCCGGUUCGACGCUGAGGCGCGG
rnacentral:rRNA from 1 species